CACAUGAAAUAGUUAAAUUGGUGAAAGAAAGGAUCUCUAUAUUUACUGAUUUUACUGUGGGAUAUUUAUUGUUAUUCCAGUUGAACAGUUGGGAAUUAAGGGCGUAUUGCCAGCAUAUUUAGACCCAUUAUUGCAGCCUCAAGAUUUACUAACGGGUGUAAGCUUUGCUACUGGAGGAUCAGGAUAUGAUCCAUUAAAGCCCAAAUUACAGUUGGUUUCAUCAAUCUCGGAUCAACUGCUGCAGUUCAAAGAAUACAAAGAAAAGUUGACAUCAAUUGCAUGAGAAGAAGGAACAAAAUCCAUGUUGGCUACAAGUUUAUACAUAGUUGUAUCAGGGGUUUGAGAUUGUGGACAAAGGCUGCUGUGGCACUGGCACCGUUGAGGUGUCAAUAUUAUAUAAUGGCAUCUUUCAGAGCGGCCCAGUUCUAAAAAAUGAGAAUGAUUUUACACCGGAAGAAGGGGAGGAAGUUCGUGGCCAGAAUCAGUGAGCCUUCGAGUGAACAAUCUCAAUUGAAUUGAACAUAGCUUUCUUCCUUUAUUUCGUUUUCUUUUUUUCAAUAUGCAUGGGGUUGUUCUUCUUCUCUGUUUUUACUGGCCUUCUUCAGCUCUUAUGUUUCGUCCGGUCGUUUUAAUUUUACUAUUUUCUUCUUAGUUAAUUGUCAGCCUGUAUUUCUGGAUGCGAUUUUGCUACAUUGAAGUGGAACAUGUCGAAAAACAGAGAUCCUGCUUAAAGUCAAGUUAAAGAGCUUCGAUUCAUGUUUAUUACAGUGCAACUCAGAACUUGUCGAUCCUGCUAUUUUUUAUCCAACGCUACGCUACCACUUUUACUGCUUAUAGCAAAUGUAUUUCUGACUUUGUAUUUUCCGUUCGACCAUGUUAUGGAUCCAAAUACAUCUUUUUUGAGCGGAUUUGCGGCUGAGAAAUUCACUUGAUACGAUAACUUUUCAUCAAAUUUACUGAAGUGCAGUUUAUCUGGGACCACUUGAACAUCAAGACCUGCAGGUGCAUCAAUGCUUAUGUUAUACACUGUUUUAGCAUCUUCCAUUUUGACAUUUCCGGCAACGUUUGUAAGGGUUCUGUUCACUCUCCUGCCUGCUUUUUCAUCGAAAUUGGAAAUUGCUAUUGAUGGAUAAUUGAUGUUGGAUAUAAGAUCAAUGCUUGACUCCUCUGGGCAUGUAAACCCAUCUGGGAUAGUGUUGGCCAUAAUUUUUAUCGUAGCUAUAUUAUAACCAUGGUAGCAUAGGAAAUUCAGGUAGUCAAUAGCAGUAGUCUCGUAAACUAGACCAGGUUGCAAUGGUCCUGUGGUGAUUACUUCUCCUGCACCAAAAUCAUAAGGCGUUGCUGCUGUACCUUUCUCGGUCGUAAUUGGGGCUUUCAUAUUAUUUGUUU